UAUGGUAAAAAUGUUAACAUUUGAAGAAUCUGGGUGAAGGGUAUACAAGAAUUUAUUACAUCCCUCACAAUUUCUCUGUGUGCCCCAAAUGAAUUUAAAAUAAAAAGUUAAACCCCCCCGAAAAGGGGGGGGGGGGCGGGGUAGGCAGACAGGUUCAAAUCUGGUUUAUCUCAUGUAAUGCCUGGGCUUUCCUUGGGAACCCAGGACCAGAGUACCAGCUCCUGGAAGCCCAGAAGCCACCUCAGGUCAGUUACAGUCCCUCUCGUACUCAACAUCGGAGCCUCCCUCGUGUUUCCUUUGGGAAAAUCUGGAUUUUCGUAGGAACGUCUGUGAGGAGCAGAGGGCGGUGCCCACACAGGGGUGAUGCUCUGUGACCGCCAGCUGUCCUCGUGACCCUGGGCUGUAGAGUCACACGGACCCAAGUUCGAACCGUCGACGUGCCUAGCAUUUGCUGGCUGAUAGCACUCAGCCACUUGUCCCUUCCAACCGCGGUGUCCUCAUCCGUAAAUGUGGACAAGCGCUAACGCUUUCACCAGCAGGGUCCGGUGAGGAUUGGAUGGUGACAAGGAGACAUAGGCACUUAGCCCGGUGCUGGGCACACAGUAGGCCCUCACUGAAGGGUCGGGAGAAACAAUUCCCUGGAACACCCACCAGGAUGGCUACUAUCAAAAAAAAAAAAAACACAAAA